UGCUCUUCAGAUCUGUUUGAAGCCUGACAAUGGCAAAAUGACAGUAUUUUAAAUGUUAGUUUUGAGGUUGCUGGCAGUGAAGUUUCAUCUGAAUUAAGGAGAGAGAAGGAGGGAGGAAAAAGAGGAAGAAGGAAUGAAAUAAAAAAGAACAUGCUAUAUUUUCAUGGUAUUGUAAUCAAGUAUUUUCUCUUUUCCAGUUAGGAAUUUAGUAAUUCUGAGUUUUAUAGUUUCAGUCUUGUUUCUGCCCUUUUCAGGAAUUGAGAAAAUUAGUUCACCAGGUUGCUGCUAAUCCAUCUGAUCUAUGUAGGACUAGAACUUGUGCUUGCUUUACUUAGUUUCAUCUUUGAGACCUUGUUAAAAUGUUUUUCUCAGUCAGGCCUUCUUUAACCCAUUAUUUUAAAAGUGUAGCUGCUCUCCGAUCCUGCACUUUUCAUUCCCCUCCUCUGCCCUUUUUUUUAUUAAAGCAUUAUCACCUUGUUAUAUAUAUUUCACUUAUUUUGUUUGUGCCUGCUCUUCCCACCUUCCCGGCCUAAAAUAUAAGUUCCAGUAAGUGCACGAAUUUUUGUUUCUUUAAUAUCUUGUGUAUUUCCAGAGCUCAGACCAAUGCCUGGCACAUAAUAGGAUUUCAAUGAGUAUUUUUUGAAUAAUGAAUAGUGAGUAUUCAUUUGUGGAAUGAUUAGAUGUUCUAUUUAAAGGUUGAUGGAGGUGAAUUCUAAGUGUUUACAGAAGGUUAGGAUUCCAUAGUUGUUUUGUAGUGUAGUUGUUUCAUUGUUGGUCUAGUAGUAGAAUUACAUUUAUAGACAAGUUGGAAUUUCUGAAUUAAUUUCUGAAUAAUUCCAGAACAAGUAUUAU